UUGUCGCUUAGUCAUAUGCCGGCCGAUUAAUUGCAUAGAUCUCACGGACACAAAAUCGCCAGCCCAUUCAUAGUCAUGCAGGGUUUACUAAUAUCAUCUGGUUUGGCCGCCUACUGCUUGCUCAUAACCAGAUGAUAGUUUUAUUUAGUCACGUUUCAUACAACUUGCUAAGACGGUGAUAAACAGUGACUGGUAGUCUUACGUGGUUUUCUCCUAUUCAUAAGCUCCAGUAAUGAUCGUUAUCCUGGACACAAGUUUGCGGUAACAAAAGGCGUCCCUCGAAUCUACCGGUGAUAAAUGAUUUCGGAUGAAUACAGAAAAAAGUAACAAUUUAUUUGCCAGGUAGGAUUUAAAAUGUAAGCUACAAAAUCAAAGCCAAUUUCACACAUGAUCAGAAUAAAUAAACAUUUCUAAAAAUAAAAGACAAGUCAAAGAAACAUAUCUGACAAAACUACAUGCAGCGGUACAGCAUGGGAGAUCUGCUUACAGAUUCCCUGAGCUUCUUGCCAACCCUCCUUAAAUACCAAACAAUUCUAUUGUUAUUUCAGAUGUGUUUGUUUGAUGUUAUUCAGGAUUUGGUUUACAAUUUAGGAGGUUGUAAGUAGACCUUCGAAACUUUUGAUGUUUACAACGAAUGCACCUAAUCUGAUGGUUUCCGUGAGGGAUCUGGGAGGGGUCGUGUCUCUGAUAGAAUACAGUAUUUACAAAGUUCUUAAAUCUUACUUGUGAUUUGACUUUGCUGAAAGGGAAUGAGACCGUUUUACCAGUUGCAAUGAGACCUCUUGAAUGAUACCAAACAUGUAUGAUCAAAGAAAACCUUUUACAUUACAAAACAGGAUAAGUCAUAACUUAGUUUUUGGUGUUCUUAAAGUGACCUGAGUUGAGAGAGAGAGCAGAUGUGAGUAAGAUUUGCGAGAAGAGGAUAAGUCAUCCUAAAGUGACCUGAGGUGAGAGAGAUUUGUGUUUUAUGGUCCUUAAGAAGUAGGGAGUGUUGUCUUUAGGUGGAGAUGCUUAUCUGUGUGAGAGAUUUAUGAUGUUGGUUCUCACAGAGACUUUUAGGUGUAGACAUUCUGGUGCCAGCCUUACAAUGUCACGUUCAUUUUGUGAACGUGUGCCUAUUAAGAAACAUCCAACAACUUGCAAAGUGUUGAUCAGAAUCAAGCAUUAGUACCGAAACAAAAAGCAUCAUCUGUGGUGUGGAUUCACUAGCGAUGAUGUCGAGCAGUGCGUUGUACUGUGUAAGUUAUGUCAAACAACUGUUUCCCCGUACCCGGCAGGUUCCCAAAGGCAAAUGAUGAUAACUGAAGCAAUAAACUAUUUCAUUGCAAAAGACAUGGCGCCAAUUAAUACGGUUUGCAGCGUAGGGUUUAAAAAGCUCAAACACUCUGGAUAAGAGAUAUGUCAUCCCCUCCCACAAUCAUUUUUCUCAAGUUGCGCUACUUCACUUUAUUCAAAAUUCCUGGAAGGCCUUGAAUCAGAUCUGCAAAAAAUAGUGUUCUAUUCCACCAUGACUGAUUUAUGGUUGAGUAGAACUAUGGAACCAUAUAUGAGCCUGACAGUUCAAUACAUUGAUGACGAGUUUCAGCUGAAAAGCAGAUGCUUGCAAACGUCCUAUUUUCUACAAGAUCACACUGGGAAUGCGAUUGCUCAUGGAUUGAAAGAGAUGCUGGCUGCCUGGGGUUUAAAGGAGGAGCAACAAAUCUGCAUCACUACAGACAACGCAGCAAAUAUAGUGAAUGCCAUUGCUAUUAAUAAAUGGACCAGACUACAGUGUUUUGGGCACAGGCUGCACCUAGCAAUUGAAAACGCUUUGAACGAUGGACGGAUUCUGUGCAAUGAAAAUGUGCAAAAAGGUUGUGGGGUGCUUCUCCUAUAGCUGGAGACAAAGGAGGGAGUUGUCCGAGGCCCAGAAAGAGCUUAAGUUAUCUGAACACAAACUCAAGACGGAGUGUCCAACAAGGUGGGGAUCAAAACAAGCAAUGAUUGCCAGGGUGCUGGAACAACAGAAUGCCAUUUCUUGUGUUCUGUCCAUGGACAAAAAAGUCAGACACCUUGUCCCCACAUGGCAGGAUAUAGAAGUCCUUGAGGCAGUCAACAACUCCCUUUCUCCUCUUGCUGAAUUCACUGAUGCUCUUUCAGGAGAGCAAUAUGUAAGUGUAUCAUAUGUGAAGCCUGUUCUUCACUUGUUCAACAAUACAAUCUUGGCAGAGAAGGAGGGAGAAACAGAACUCUCAAAAUGCAUUGAGCAAGAUCCUGGACUACCUGAAUAAGAAGUAUGAUGAUCCACAGACAGAAGAGGUACUUGAUAUGGCUUCUGUUGUUGAUCCCAGAUUCAAGCUUGAGUACAUCAGUGAAGACAGAGUUGAAGCUGUCAAGAUUCGUUUGAGAAUUGAAAUGGCAUCAAUAUCUACAGUCAUGAAGCCUCAACCAUCUGUGAAUGUGAGUGAGGAAGCAGAUGACCAAAAUGCACCAGCAAUAAAGAAGACCAAAAAAAACAUUGGGUAGUUUCUUUAAAGUGGAUGAGGACCACAGACCAGCAUCAUCUACACACUCCAGUCUGCAAGACAUGGCCAUAACUACUGAGCUACAGUCUUAUUUUCUCUCUGCUGCUGUUGAUAGUGAGGAGGAUCCUUUGGUCUGGUGGAAGGAACAUAAAAAGCCAUUCCUAACACUCUACAAGUUGGCACAAAAAUAUCUGUGCAUUCCUGCCACUAGUUCUCCCUUGGAAAGAGUAUUUAGCACUGGAGGAAACAUUGUGACUUGUUUGCGUGCAUCCCUUAAAGCCUGAAAGUGUGGACGGGUUUGUUUUUCUGGCAAAAAAAUCUUUAAAAGUCAAACAAUUGGAACUUAGUUUUGUUCAUUCCUGAAAACAUGAUGUGCUUUCAUGGCUUGUGUUCUAGGCCAAAAGAAUUGAUAAGGCAAACUCUUUUUUUUUUUUUCUUCUUUCCACGUGUUAUCCUAAGAGUUUUUCCAUUGUUUUCAUUUUAGAUAACAUUAUUAUACCAUGCAUAUUUUUGCUUUUGAAUUUUUAAAAAUGUAUUUAAAGAAGAAACCAAACCAAUGUGUAGUUGACCUUUGAGGCUUACUGCUAUA